UACGUAGGGGGCAAGCGUUGUCCGGAAUUAUUGGGCGUAAAGAGCUCGUAGGCGGUUUGUCACGUCGGAUGUGAAACCCUGAGGCUCAACCUCAGGCCUGCAUUCGAUACGGGCAGACUAGAAUUCGGCAGGGGAGACUGGAAUUCCUGGUGUAGCGGUGAAAUGCGUAGAUAUCUGGAGGAAUACCGGUGGCGAAGGCGGCAUCCUGGACCGACAUUGACGCUGAUGAGCGAAAGCUAGGGGAGCAAACGGG
rnacentral:rRNA from 1 species